CUUGUUUAUUCUUAUGUGUACAAGAAAGUCACUAAUAAUAUUUGAAUCAAUUUGAAAUUUAUAAAUCAAUUAAAAUAUCAAUGGAAAAAUCUUAUCUCUAUUUUAAUUAUUUAAUCUUUCUCGUUACUAAGAUAAUUUUAUUUUGUUCUGGACUCAGUUCGUUCAUAACAUUCAUGUAAUGUAUAUUAGAGAUAAAAGUAUAAAAAAAAAUUAAUGAAUUUGUAAUAUUCAUUCAAACAUAUAAAAAAAGCAAUUGCAAUAUGAACUAUAAAGUAUACAAAAAAAGUUCCAAUAAGACAAAUUACAGCAAAUAACCAAAAUGUAGCAUCAAGAUCAAUUGUCUUUGAAAGAUCACUGAAGAAUUUAGUUACAAUAAAAACCAAUAUCCAAUUAAAAAGACAAGCACUACUUGCAGCUACACUCUUUACUUCUGGUGCAAAAAUUUCACCCAUCAUCAUCCAUGGAAGUGGACCAAAACCCAUAUUGAACAUAAUAAUAAAAAUACAUACAGAAACUAAAGCAAAUUUUUCAUUACCUUUUUUUAAAUAAUAAGAUGGUGAUUCUGGCAUAAACAUAAAAACUACAAAAAAAAUAAGUGGUACAAGAGCAGAUAUAAUAGACAAUAUUCGCAUAUUAACAAAAGUUCCUAAAAUAUAUGAUAAAAGAAUGCCUGUAGUAAGAAGUAAUUGAAAAUAUGAUCCAAGAGUUCCACGGAUCUCAUUUUCAGCUAUUUCUGCUGUAUAUAUUGGUGCUGCUACACAAAAGGCUCCACCACUAAGACCAG